rnacentral:rRNA from 1 species
UACGGAGGGUGCAAACGUUGCUCGGAAUCAUUGGGCGUAAAGCGCACGUAGGCGGCUCGUUAAGUCGGAUGUGAAAUCCCUGGGCUCAACCCAGGAAGUGCAUUCGAAACUGGCGAGCUUGAAUAUGGAAGAGGGUCGCGGAAUUCCCGGUGUAGAGGUGAAAUUCGUAGAUAUCGGGAGGAACACCAGUGGCGAAGGCGGCGACCUGGGCCAAUAUUGACGCUGAGGUGCGAAAGCGUGGGGAGCGAACAGG